rnacentral:rRNA from 1 species
AUUGAACGCUGGCGGCAGGCCUAACACAUGCAAGUCGAGCGGAGCGGCGGACGGGUGAGGAAUGCCUAGGAAUCUGCCUGGUCGUGGGGGAUAAGGUCAGGAAACGGGAGCUAUUACCGCAUCCUAUCAGAUUAGCAUAGGUCGGAGUAGCUAGUUGGUGGGGUAAAGGCAUACAAAGGCGACGAUCCGUAACUGGUCUGAGAGUGUGAUCAGUCACACUGGAACUGAGACACGGUCCAGACUCCUACGGGAGGCAGCAGUGGGGAAUAUUGGACAAUGGGCGAAAGCCUGAUCCAGCCAUGCCGCGUGUGUGAAGAAGGUCUUCGGAUUGUAAAGCACUUUAAGUUGGGAGGCGUUACCAGCAGAAUAAGCACCGGCUAACUUCGUGCCAGCAGCCGCGGUAAUUC